CCGAUCUGGAAGAGGUGGUGGAGCUUUUGUUGUUGCUGCUGCAGGUGGACGAGGCACCACCCCCUCUUUCUACUUCUGGACACAACCUGGUGAAUUGCAUUAUGGAAAGAUGUGUGUGAGGUUACCCCAUCGCCACUGGUUCCAACUUUGUCCAUCAUGUCGCUCUGAUGAGAAGACCUCGUCCAUGUUUCAUUAAUAGGGCAGAGUGCUGCUGAAGUAUCUAUGUUGAACAAUUAUAACAGUACCAAGUAAGUUUGCUCCAAUUGCAUUUGAUGCAGAAGGCACAACACCGCCAUCAUGCGUCAGGUUCAGUAGAAGGCACGACACCGCCACACUCUCCUCCACUACAACGCCACGCACCCGGUUGCUCCGAUGAGGACAAGCUGCUUCUGCAGGUGGACGGGCCCUCAAGGCUGCUCUGCCUAUUCCUCCUGCUACCCCCACACGUGCGAACACAAAGCCGUCGAUGCAUUGAGGGCUCAAUGUCGUCUCCGCCGGCUGAGCGGCAAGCCGGGGUUGGGCCUGCACACCGUCUAUCAGCACCCUCCCGUGUCUCCAUUCACGGAUCUGCAGAAUAUAGGUUUUAUGGUAACAAGUCUUAGCCAACACCUAUACUGAUGCUCAGACCAGAUGAUUAUAGUCUCUCCUUGCUAUUUUUCUUGAGGUGUGUACAUCUAUCUAGACAAUUUAAUUAAAAUAUAUAUUCCAUACAAACCAUCAAUACAUGUUAGUUGACUUUGAAACUAAUCAGUAAAAAGGUUGUCCCUUUCGCAUUUUAUGGACAUAAAGAUUUGGUGUUGACUGUCGAUCUUUAGUUAACACAUGACCUUACAACCGUAGGGAGUGGGAAAAAACUUAUAUGUUUGGCACAUUUGAAGAACAUAUCAUAGUAACAAAGUUUUGGUAAACAAUGUCCUAGAUCUCAACCAUAUAGAAAUACUAAAUAUAUGUUUAUUUGUAUAUGGAUUAAUUAUACAGACUUAUAAAACCUUGUGCAGGGCACAUAAAAGAAAUUUGAAAUAACUAUUAUUUCAAUAUUUGCUUUUUCAGUUGAGCAUAAUAGUUUAUAGCCUGAUAGGCUUGGACAUAAUUGUCUACAUGUACUGCUCAGUAGGCGACAUCCUUUGGGAAAUUGAGGAUGUCCUCGUGCAUUUUCUAAAUACAAUU